rnacentral:rRNA from 2 species
CACAUGACUCUCGGCAACGGAUAUCUCGGCUCUUGCAUCGAUGAAGAACGUAGCAAAAUGCGAUACCUGGUGUGAAUUGCAGAAUCCCGUGAACCAUCGAGUUUUUGAACGCAAGUUGCGCCUAAGGCCUUUUGGCCAAGGGCACGUCUGCCUGGGCGUCACGC